UCCUACGGGAGGCAGCAGUGGGGAAUAUUGCGCAAUGGGGGGAACCCUGACGCAGCAACGCCGCGUGAGUGAAGAAGGUUUUCGGAUCGUAAAGAUCUGUUAUUAGGGAAGAAUGGAAUUGAUAGGAAAUGAUCAAUUUAUGACGGUGCCUAAUGAGGAAGCCCCGGCUAACUAUGUGCCAGCAGCCGCGGUAAUA
rnacentral:rRNA from 1 species